AAUCAACGCUGGCGGCGUGCCUAACACAUGCAAGUCGCACGAGAAAGGGGAGCAAUCCCUGAGUAAAGUGGCGCACGGGUGAGUAACACGUGACUAACCUACCCUCGAGUGGGGAAUAACCUAGAGAAAUCUGGGCUAAUACCGCAUAACACUUACGAGUCAAAGCAGCAAUGCGCUUGAGGAGGGGGUCGCGGCAGAUUAGCUAGUUGGCGGGGUAAUGGCCCACCAAGGCAAUGAUCUGUAUCCGGCCUGAGAGGGCGCACGGACACACUGGAACUGAAACACGGUCCAGACUCCUACGGGAGGCAGCGGUGGGGAAUUUUGCGCAAUGGGGGAAACCCUGACGCAGCAACGCCGCGUGGAGGAUGAAAUCCCUUGGGAUGUAAACUCCUCUCGAUAGGGAAGAUAAUGACGGUACCUAUAGAAGAA
rnacentral:rRNA from 1 species